rnacentral:lncRNA from 1 species
UCAGAGAUGAUGGCGGAGGCAAGAGGACCUGUUAUUUCGUGUAGAUGCAGCAAAACCGAAGACUGUCAGGGUAUUUGCGCCGCGUGCCCCAACUAUAGCUGCAUUAAUAACCUUUGUACUUGCCUUUCAAACGCACCUCCAUUUCCAUAGUCUUAGAAUCUACACACUCCAACACUUGAAUGGAAUGGUGGGAUUUUUUUCUGUAAUUUGAAAUAAAUUAUCGUGCAAUGGAUCUAAUAAGAAAAAAUAUUUUAAUUAUUGUAAUUUUAAUUUUCUUUUUACCCUUCUCUGCCCCUCCCCCCCUUUCUAGUAGCGAAAAGUAUGUUACAUUUCAAAUAUAUAAAAAGAGUUACAAUCUUGUUUUACAACCUAAAGCAAUAACAGUCAGAACAAAAGAAAGAAGAAAAACAUUUCUCAAAAUACAAUGAUAAUUAUUCUUUGAAUUCCACUCUCAUAUGCUUGUAUAUGGCNNNNNNNNNNNNNNNNNNNNNNNNNNNNNNNNNNNNNNNNNNNNNNNNNNNNNNNNNNNNNNNNNNNNNNNNNNNNNNNNNNNNNNNNNNNNNNNNNNNNNNNNCGUAUUCUUUUGGUGGGGACACUUUGUUAAUUUAUUAACAACACUAUGCACUAGAUGUGUAUCAAAUGGAAACGUGCUCUGUUCAAACUUUAUUAGAAAAAAAUUGCAUAAGCACCUAUUAUAAGCUAAAACAUUAAAAACAUUUUCUAGGAAAACUUAGCUGGACAAUACCUUGGGUAAAGGAAAGAGUAAACAUGUUUUAGACUCCCCCUAAUUUUAAAAAUAUUGAAACAUGGUAGAAAUUUUGAAACAAUAUUUUGUUGCUAAAUAAUUCAUCAAAGAGAGUCAUACUAUGAAGACAUGCCUUUUUAAUUACAAUGAUAACCAUUGAGUUUCAUUGUAUACUCUAGGUUCAUUUGCCAAUAACUCUUUUGCACAUCAUAAUAUAGGUGGGGGCGAAUAAAACUUUAUAUAAAGUGACAUUAAUACAUGCAUUAUAGCCUCCAUUAAUUUCUUAUAAGUUUUUUUUAUAUCCACAAUCAACAUUUUUCUUAUGCGGACAUGAUACCUUACUAUUGCAUAUGACUUAAGGAAAAUUGUAUAUUAAAUUUAGCCUCCUGGCUUUGGAGAUUUCUACAUCCUUUCUCUCUUUCUUACACCGUUGCAAGGAUGUUCAUGUAGACCACCUGAUAGAUAGUUGUAUGGUUUCUUUAUUCUUAUUGAAACACAUAUAGAGUCUUUCUUGACAUCACUGUGACUUUAAUAGUCAUUACCAAUAUGGUUUGACUCUUGCAGGUUUUGAAUACAUUGGAGUGUCAUUCGGCCCAAUUAAAGGCUAUUAUUGUUGUUUCAAUUUGAGAUCGCUCUCUUCUAGUUUUUCUUCUUCUUUUCUCAUUUUGGUUUCCUACCCUUUGUAACACCCCUUACCUGUAUUCGAUGUCAGAAUAGGAUACGAGGUAUUACCAGAACACAUACACUUUUAACCAUAUUAAAACGAGUUGAAAAAUUUCAUCAAAACUAAAACUCUCAAAUUGUUAUUCUUGAUUCGCUAAUUAGGGUUUACGUAACCCAAUAUACUCACAAUCUUUCCUUUCCUCGUCAUAUGAAUUUAAAAAUUUCCGCUUACUUAUUGAUUUCAUCACGAGUACCUGAAUUGAUCCGUAUAAUUACAUAUUCUCAUGUCGUCACAUUUUCCUAUUUAACUAUUGUAAUAUAUCAAUUAAUCAAUAUCUUAUAAGUUAAGUGUCACAUAUACAUUAUCCAUUCAUCUCCCAUACAACUGUCGAUAUUAGCCACAAAAAUAGUACAAAUUUUCUCUAUUCGAUGUUAAAUCAAAACAUGUUAUUUCAUUACCAACUAACCUUACUAAAUAUACACCUUAAACUAGCCCAAGUGUUUAACCAUUCACCUAUGACAUAAAUAUAUUUUAUCUAUUACUGCAGAAUAUAGAUGUGCUACCCAAAUCAUAAUUCGCCUCACAUAGUAACCUAGUUAAUUUUUAUCAUUUGUCAAAUAAAUUACAAAACAAGUUAUAUAACAAAAUAUAUAUACAUUUUAAACCUCACCAAUAAAAAAAUUCUCAUGGCAUUAAAUAAUCAUCACGCACCAAAGACAAAUGUACUUGACAUUUCCAUCACAUAAACCGAAUUAAUCAAUGCAACCUCAAUGAUGUAAUCAUCCUUUUAACUUACUUAACCAAGCCAAAUUAUACCAUCAUCUCACACAUAGAAUGAUCCACCUAUUAUAUUUCUCAAUUAUGUCACUUAAUAGACCAAAUAUACCUAACCUUUAUCAUCAUGAUCAAUCCACAACCAAAAUACAUUCAUAUAUCAAAAUUACCACACACACACAUAUAUAUAUACCAUGACUAAAUUUCUUAAACAUUUGAUCAAAUGCUUUUCAAUACUACAAUAAUUCUUUCAAUACCAAAACGUAUUUACCAUUCAAUUUACCAUUGGCCGAUUAUAUUCGGGCAUAUAACCAUUUAUACACAAUACAUUCAUAUAUUUUAUUGUCCUCCUCCUCCUCUCCAUUCCACAUCCUUGAUGCUUAUAACACACUUAAAUAGCAUUAUACAUAAUUUCACUAUUCACUUAUAUUUAAAUUCAAAGCUGUCUAGUCAAGUUACAAUCACAAAAUUAUUUUUAUCUGGAGCUACAGAGCUCCAAAUUAAGAUCCGAUAAUUUUUCUUGAAACUAGACUCAUGUAUCUUCUUACCAUAAAAUUUUUAGAAUUUUUAGUUCAGCCAAAUCAAACAGUUUAUUCUUUAAACAUUCCCCUGUUUCGUUGUCUAACAGUUCUGAUCACUCUUCACUAAAAAUGAAUUAUCUAAUUGUACAGAAUUCGGAUGAUGUUUCAGUUUAUUUUCUUUGAAAAUAGACUCAGGAUUCUAAGCAUAUGAAUUAUAACUCAUAAUUAUUUUUAUUCAAUUUUUUAUGAUUUUCAAAAGUCAGAACAGGGAAACCCGAAAUCAUUCUGCAUUGUCUCACAAAAUUUAUUAUAAAUCAUAAUUUACAAUUUCAUUCCUUAUACUGUUUCUUCUAUGAGAAACUAGACUCAAUAAGAUUUAAUUUCAUAUUUUAAUCAUCUUCUAAUUCGAUUCCCACGAUUUUUGGUGAUUUUUCAAAGUUGGCACACUGCUGCUGCCCAAAACUGUUUUAGUGCAACAUAUUAAUUACCAUUUUGACCCUAAACUUUUAACACAUGAAAAUUUCGUCCCUAGGCUCUGAAAAUAAUUUUCUUGCAAUUUAAUCCUUGAUCCAAGCCUAAUAAUUCUCAUACAUAUCAAUAACAGCCCAUGGAUUCCAUGAAAUUUCAAAAUUUUUCCACAAUUUCAAUACUUUUCAACUUAUUCCGUAAAACAUGUUUUCAUCCAAAAUUCUUUAAUAAAAUGCCUUUAAACAUCCAUUAACAUAUCAAUUUCAUCAUCAAAUAACAAAAAUCAUAUGAACUUAUCAAUGGUAUCUUUCUAAAAUUUCAACAAAAUGAGAAAUUAGUAGAAUACUAGGUUGGACCUAAUUGCAAAAGUCUAAAAAUAUAAAAAUUUCAAGGAAAAAGUAAGAAUUACACUUACUUGAAGCUAAAAUAUGGGAUAUCAACUCUAAGCCCUCAUCCAUGGCUAUUUCCCACCGAAAUUUCAAGAAGAAAUGGACUUGAAAUCCUUAAAAUAAAUUUUGGCCACAUAAACUUUAUUGUAAUUCCAAUUUUGUCCUUAAAUACAUAAAAAUCUUUGAUUUUUUUAACGGUAUGCCGCCUCUGCCACUUAAGUUAGUCCAUUUACUACUUUAGUCCUUUCUUAUUCAAUUGUUAAGCUAUUUAAUAACUUUAGCAAGUUUUGCAUCUUUUCAAUUUAGUUCUUUUAAAUUAAUUGACUGCCGAAACGUUAAAAUUUUCUGACGAAACUUUAACACUACCAUCUUGACACUCCGUAAAUAUUUAUAAAAAUAUUUAUGGUUGAUUUAUGACAUCGAGGUCUCGAUACCUCUUUUCCACAAUUUCUUAACUUAAUAAAUUUUUAUAAAAUACUGAUUACUAAUUCAAAAAUCUCUUAAAAAUCAUAUUUGACCCGUAAUUAUUAAAUAAUAAAACUUACGAGCUUCUUUUCUGAACUUGGUGGUCUCGUACCACUGUUUUUAACAUUUCUAAAAAUCGGGCUAUUACACCCUUUAUAUGCUUGUUGUAGUAUUUUUUCCUUAAGUUAAUUUUGGAAAUACAUAGAAUCUAUUGAAUGGAGUGCCAUUAAUUUUAUCAACAUUAUAUCUCAUCAUCUUCUUUCUUGUUUUUAGGAUCUUUAUGGCCAUGGUUAGACAAGAGUGUGUAUAUCUUGUAACUCUUAUUUUGGGAGAUGCAAUGUGCACAUUUUCUAUAAGUCCUACACUUUUACCUAUUGUGUCAAUGAGGCCAUCUUUAGGUAUUUCCCCUCUAUUUAUUUCAUUAGUCAAAUUGGAUGUACUUUUAUGAACUUAAAAUCAAACAAUCACUUUUAGCUUUUUUGUAACCUCUCUUUUCAGGUCUGAUAACAUCGUUCAUGAAGUUGAGCUCCUCCGUGGAUAGCCUUGGUUGUUUGUUUCCAUUUAUUCACAAUCUCUUGCAACAAAUUUUGACAUUUUAACUGUAGUGAUAGUUUUAUUAGCCUUGUAGCGAGCCCAAGAUACCAAUGCUUCCCACCAAUGAUUUUGAAUUUUUAAUACUUUAUUUAAAUGAUUUUGAUGUUUAGAAAUUUAAAAAAUAAACUAAUUUUCUUCUAAAUUUUAUUACUUAGCGAUCCGCUGCUUGGGAUAGGAAGAACUUAAACCCUAGGCCUGACAAACCUAGGAAGUCAUGUAGGUGAGAAUUAACCCAAAAUUGGUAUUGCCUAUCCAUGAACCUCUUACCUCAAGUUGGUCUGGACUGUGAGGUCGAAAUAUAAGUAGUUGUUGCCAACUUAUUAGUUUAGUGGAAGAUCGAGAGAUGCUACUAGGUUAGCGGCUAAUUGAUUGAGUAAAACCAAAAAUAGGAUUUAGUUAUGACCACUGAAGCGAGCUAAUCACUCAUGCUUAGAUUUUAUUGAGUCACAUAUUAGUUCUCCAUCUUUUUUAUUUUAUGCAAGUUUAUUUCUUUUCUUAUAAAAACAACUAUUUUUCACUUUAUGAUCAUUGUACUAUAAGUUAUUUAAAUUAGUAAUUAGAUCUAUUUGCAUUUAGGUUAAUAUUAAUUUAGUACUUGUCUCCCUUGGGUACGAUCCUCGAGUACUCACCUACUUCGUUGUAAAACUAUAUUACAACCUGACUCGUAUACUUGAGGACACCGCCUCAAUUCAAUAUAUACUUUUAGCAAUAUUCAUACUCUGGAUUCUAGUACGUUAGAAGGUGGUCACUUUCCAAAGUGGCGCGUAGUUUAUCUGCAAAUAAGUGGUGGCCCGUCUACAAUCCGGAGUGAUAUGUUAGACGAGUUCUGGGGAAUUGAUACGUGAGGUGUGUAGCGGAUUUGGGUAGGACUUUUCUGUUAAUUUGAAACUUCAAUGCAUUCAUAAGCAUGUGCAUAUAAAUUUGUGAAUACCAUUAUAGUGAAGUGAAGCGUUUUAUGUGAAAAACCGUUAAUAUGAGGUGCUUUAUGGUUGUCUUUAAUCUCAAGAUUGCUAAUUCAUGUGCCUUGUUGGUUUGUUGUUUUAUUUUGGUUUUCUUGUGACUCAACUCACACUGAGCUUCAUAGCUCACUACCCUUUAGUUCCCAUCCUUAUAGAUAACCCAAUAGGUUAGGAUGCGACAUAUAGAAGGCUCGAAAAAGUUUUAAUGUUAUGAAAGUAUUAUUAUGCUUAUUUUAAAAUUUAUGUUAUUUCGGAACUGUACUGUAUUAUUUAUUUUCUGGCAUUGGAUUCAUAUUUAGGUUUUGGUUUUAUAUUGCAAGCAUGACAUAAAAAUUGUUUUUAAGAUGCUAAUAAUACUCAGGAAAAGCCAUUUUUUCGCUGAAAGGUCAUAAUUAAAUUUUGUCUAAUAACUAGAAUGUAACUAUGUUUCCAAUAGUUAUCACCUUUUACAAGAAAAAUAUUAGUUUAAUUGUAUUUUUUGUACCCAUGAUUUGUUUUCUAAAAAUAGAAAGAGUCUUUGUAAAGAUAAAAAAAAUGUUUUAAUGUGAUUAUUUAAAAUCUUCGAUUGCACUGGGCUAUCACGGUCGCCGAUGUAAUCUCCCGAACUCGGGCCUACCGUCUUGGCCCAAUUGGGGAGGUUACAAUUUCAAUGGCAUAAAGUACUAAAAACAUCUUUUAAAUCAUCUGUAGCAUAGAUUAUUUCAUGUUGAUUUGAGUUGAAUUAAAAUAUUUAAUUUGAACUUAUAAAUUUUCCAUUUGUAAAGAAAAAAAAGUGAUUUUACUUCAAACAAAAAGAAGAGAAAAAUUGUUACCAACUAAAUUGAUGAACAAGAACUUGAUAUGAUAUAUACGUGAAUACAAUAACAAUACAUUAAUUGCGCUACAAUUGUGUAUAAUAUCCUUUUUAUUUAGUUAUAUUGUGUUUGUACAAAAUUAGUAAAGAUAAAAUGCUAUGCAUCAAAUAUGCUCAAUUCUAAUUCUAAUUCUAAUUCCAAUUCCAAUUUGAGUUUGAACUUGAUUUGGAACACAAAAAUUGAGCAUGGCGUCAAGUAUGAGAAUCCAACUCAAGUCUUAUAAAUAAACAAGCCUAAUUAAAUUUAGCAAAGCUAAUUAAAGCAGUUUAAUCUUUAUCUUGUAACAAGUUUAUAUUUUAAAAGUGAAACUCAAUGAAGUUAUAUUGGAGCAUUCAAUUCUCUAGGUUUCUAUGGAGAUUGAGAUUGAAUUUCUUGGAUCAGUUCAACCCCAUUAAAUAACUUUAAAUUUUUUAUUUUGAUACAAUAGUUAAUAUUAUUUCCAAACUCAUAUAAGUGGUUGUGUAGGAAAGGGUCAGGUUUUUUGUCUGCUUUCUCUCAGUACUAUCUCCAAAAUUUUAAUGCUUUUAGUAUUUUAAUAUUUGAAAAUUAUAAAAAAAAAUUUUGACUAGUAAGAAAAAUAUAAUUUAAUCUUUUCUUCUCCUAGACCACAAAUAAAAAAAAUUGGAACAUAUUUCCCAUUUGUUUCUAAACGGUUGGACUAAUAAUCAACUUAUUGGCAUCAUGCAUUCCAGAUUUGGUAACAUUAAUUUCCAUGACUACACUUAGAACAAAAUAAUGAUAAUUAGUAAACAAAAUCCCCAUAAAUCUUCUCAAGGAUGUUUUUCUGAUUUACUUUCCUUUUAGACAUAGUUUCAUAAGGAAAAAAAUAAAAACGUAAUAAUCUCAAAGAAUCCACAGAAAUUAGUAUUCCUCCAUGCAACACAAAAUAAGAUACUAUAUAUAUUAAAUCCAUAAGCUANNNNNNNNNNNNNNNNNNNNNNNNNNNNNNNNNNNNNNNNNNNNNNNNNNNNNNNNNNNNNNNNNNNNNNNNNNNNNNNNNNNNNNNNNNNNNNNNNNNNNNNNNNNNNNNNNNNNNNNNNNNNNNNNNNNNNNNNNNNNNNNNNNNNNNNNNNNNNNNNNNNNNNNNNNNNNNNNNNNNNNNNNNNNNNNNNNNNNNNNNNNNNNNNNNNNNNNNNNNNNNNNNNNNNNNNNNNNNNNNNNNNNNNNNNNNCAGGGUAUUUACGCCGUGUGCCCCAACUAUAGCUGCAUUAAUAACCUUUGUACUUGCCUUUCAAACGCACCUCCAUUUCCAUAGUCUUAGAAUCUACACACUCCAACAGUUGAAUGAAAUGGUGGGAUUUUUUUGUGUAAUUUGAAAUAAAUUAUCAUGCAAUGGAUCUAAUAAGAAAAAAUAUUGUAAUUAUUGUAAUUUUCAAUUUCUUUUUACCCUUCUCUGCCCCUCCC